GCCCGCGUAGCUCAGAGGAUAGAGCAAGAACCUCCUAAGUUCUAGGUCGCCCGUUCGCCUCGGGCCGCGGGCGCCA
rnacentral:tRNA from 1 species